rnacentral:rRNA from 1 species
UACGUAGGCAGCAAGCGUUGUUCGGAUUCACUGGGCGUAAAGGGUGCGUAGGUGGCAGGGUAAGUUUGAUGUGAAAUCUCCGGGCUUAACCCGGAAACUGCAUUGAAUACUAUCCUGCUCGAGGUUUGGAGGGGGGACUGGAAUUCUCGGUGUAGCAGUGAAAUGCGUAGAUAUCGAGAGGAACACCAGUGGCGAAGGCGAGUCCCUGGACAACACCUGACACUGAGGCACGAAAGCUAGGGGAGCAAACAGG